CCCCGAGAAAGCACCCUUUGAUUUUCAUCCAAAUUCAUCAGAUCCUUAUCAAAGGAGAACAAAUUGCGAUGCACGUCUUCAUUUGCCAGCAGAUCCCAACUACGUUUAGCAAGCGAAUAUGAGAAGUUGUUGCUAGGCAUUGGGAACUCUACCCUGUUCGGAUGCCCAAAUUCAUUGCCCAUGAAAUUGAGGUAAGCAUCACCACCAAUUGUAAAGGUAAUCAUUCUGAUCAUUUUGUGUAGGGCACAUCCCAUAAGCAGUGAUUCCUUAGAGGCAGGAGAUUCAGGAGAAUGGUUCUUAUAUUCACCAAACAUUAUCUCUGCAAAUGACUGCCCUCCAGAGAUAGAUUGGUUGUGAUUUUCAGCAUAUAAAAGCAUCUUUCCUGCAUAUUGUUUGUUGCCCAUUAAUGUACUGACAAUCUUGGUCAUGCUCCACUCAUCAUAUGGAACAUCCUUGAGAAAAGAGGACCACAUCUCUGAUGCAGAAAUAUUGACAUAAUAAUCAAAUCCCAAUCCCCCUUGUGAAGUUGGUUCGCAGAGUCCAGGAUAAAAUGUUGCAUCUUCAGCAAUCGUUAUUAUAUUAGGAUGAAGAGUAUGUAAUAGCUCAUUUGCCAAUAUGAGAUACAAUAAUGCAUCUUUGUCAACAUAUUGAUUGCAGUACUCUUCCAAGUCGCCAGUAAAAGAAGCAAAACCAUUGUGUGUGUACAGCAUUGAUGAGAGUGAAUGAAAUUGGAAACCGUCUAUUUGAUACUCCACAACCCACCAGUUAAGAU
rnacentral:misc_RNA from 1 species